GCACUGAAUUUAGCAGCGCACACACUAAAACUUGAAUGAUACAAAGAAGUAUAACAUGGUCCCUGUCCAAGGAUGACAUGCAAAUUCCUCAUCUGUUACUUCUUUUU
ensembl:snRNA U6 U6 spliceosomal RNA